ACGACUUGCUUAAUUUAAACACACUUUCUCGGUAAUCCCCCGGUUCCGCACGGUAAACAAAAGUGGAAUUCCCUUCCGACUUCGGGCCCCCCUCUGGCCCUAGGAAAGAUACUGGUCUAAAUUUAAAGAGAUGAGAAAUCGCAGGAUCCUGACAGAAGUGGGCGGAAGCAUACCCAUCGGAUUAAAUCGGCAAAACAGUGACUGAAAUGGCGGAAAAGGAUAAAAAUAGAAUGGCCACUUUGCGAUGAGAACGACCUUAAGAUGCCUUUUCAAGAUUGUGGAAAUAUACUCCAAUACUUUCAAGAAUAAUAUAAUUUUUGCAUUUCAUAAUUAAAAAAAUUUAUUAAGCAGGCGAUGGCCAUGACUUCUAAAAUAUAUACAAUUGUCUCGUAUAAAGAAGAAUUAAUAAAGAUAUUUAUAAUAUCGGAAUUCUAAAAGAAUAA